UCGGGAUAGUACAUUAUCUCAGAAAGCCACGAUCGCUAAACAACGUAACARAUUUAUUAAAAUGUAACCCAAAAGUGAUUCGAACGAAAAAAAUACUUGAGUGAAGAGAUGUAUUGUUGUGUCAACAUUUUACAGCAAAUCAACCCGUGAAAGUGAACGUUGCUCGCUAUUUUUUCCUUCAAGGAUCUACUUCGCUGAGAUUAGAGAAUUUUGGGGAACAACACAUUGGAAGCAAAUUACAGUGAAGUCACAUAGGUUUUCUCAGUAWAAACAAUGUUGAACUUGGUUUGACUUGGUCGACAAAUAUAGCCAACAAGCUAACGUAGCUAGUGGGUGUGCUAAACAUAUUUGAAUAUCCAGGAUCUGACAGGUUGAGGUUGAAGUGGUUGUUGACUUUCUCAAUUUAACAUGGGAGGAUGAAAUUCUAUCAUGGGGUCAUUGAAAGCUUUACAAGAAUGGUGUGGCAUAAAAUGCGAAAAUUACSCCAAUGUGGAGAUAAGGAACAUGUCUUCUUCAUUCAGAGAUGGAUUGGCGUUUUGUGCCAUUAUCCACAAACACCGACAUGAUUUGAUGCUGAUCCAGAGCGGCUGGCAAACUCUACUGUAGCUGUAGCAGGGACCUGAAUCCUGUCACAGUGGAUUUGUCUGCCCUGAUACACGGAACCACAGCAUGGCCUAAGCUCCAAAGACUUCAACUCCCUCUCCAAAGAUAAUGUUUAUGAAAACAAGCAUUUGGCAUUUGAGGUCGCACAGUCAAAGCUGAGCAUCCCUGCAUUGCUGGAUGCUAAGGACAUGGUGUCCACAGAAGUGCCAGACCGGSUAAGUGUCAUCACUUACCUCUCCCAUUACUACCACUGCUUCAACAAGAAGUCUCAUGCCAAUCCAGACAGUUUGAAGACGCCAUGUGUCGCAGAGUUCUCCAGUCACUCCAAGACACAACCUGACUCUCUUGGAGGUUCGCAGCCAGCCAAGUCAAGGACAGAGGAGCGAUCCAACAGUGGCAGGCCAUGCAGCAUUUGUGCCUCCUGCACGAAGCAUGUCCACCUGGUGCAGAGACAUCUCACUGAGGGGAAACUCUACCACCGCAGCUGCUUCAGGWAACACUACUGCUCAGAA